GAUGAACGCUGGCGGCGUGCCUAAUACAUGCAAGUCGAGCGAACAGACGAGGAGCUUGCUCCUCUGACGUUAGCGGCGGACGGGUGAGUAACACGUGGAUAACCUACCUAUAAGACUGGGAUAACUUCGGGAAACCGGAGCUAAUACCGGAUAAUAUAUUGAACCGCAUGGUUCAAUAGUGAAAGACGGUUUUGCUGUCACUUAUAGAUGGAUCCGCGCCGCAUUAGCUAGUUGGUAAGGUAACGGCUUACCAAGGCAACGAUGCGUAGCCGACCUGAGAGGGUGAUCGGCCACACUGGAACUGAGACACGGUCCAGACUCCUACGGGAGGCAGCAGUAGGGAAUCUUCCGCAAUGGGCGAAAGCCUGACGGAGCAACGCCGCGUGAGUGAUGAAGGUCUUCGGAUCGUAAAACUCUGUUAUUAGGGAAGAACAAAUGUGUAAGUAACUGUGCACGUCUUGACAGUACCUAAUCAGAAAGCCACGGCUAACUACGUG
rnacentral:rRNA from 1 species